UGAAGCCCAACGCGUUUGAGGGAUCAAAGGAAAAAGGAAAUCAUACCUCACUUUCAUUCCAUCUCCACUCCCAACCUGCACUUUCUCCAUCUCUUAUGACCCUUAGCCAGAAAUCGCUCCACCGCGCUGGAGGCGGCGAAGCAACCUAGAUCCAACCAUAUUCACCACCAAUAGAACCCUCUUACUCUUAUCUUUCCAUUUCUCAACUCCAAUUCACUUGAUUUUUACUGGAUUCUGAAUUUGAACCAAAAAGAACCAAGAACCCUAACACACUCAAACCUAAAUAAAAUCACAAUGGAUCGGAAUCAAAGCAAACAACCUUGGGUAUUCAAUUCCCCUCAUCUUCCUCUACAUCUUGGUAACUAACUUGAAGCAAAAAGAAGUAAAAAGAAGAGGAUCCAACCUACAAGGCAGAGGUUCGCCCUAGGAAUUAUUGAGGUUGCUUGAAUACGCUAAUGAAGAUAAUACCAGAGAUGUAUCAGCAGAUAAACACUUCGAUGCUUCAACUUUUUAUAACAAUGGUUGAUGGCAUAAAGGAGACUGGGCAUGGGAUUAUCAAGGUUGGCAAGGCAUGAUUAAGGUUUUGGCAUGACAUUAUGGAGGCAUGGCAUCAAAGACAUGAAUAGGUUUUAGAGACUUGUAGACUUGGAGGCAUAAACAUGAAAUGUCUUGAGGAUGGAGAAAAAGUAGGAUUAUGAGUCAGUUUGACUUUCGUCAAUUAUUUGACCAAAAGUCAACCGUUGACAAAAAGUCAGCGUUAGGCCAAAUAAUAGUUUUUGUAUGUAAUUUGUAAAUUUGGAUUUUGUAAUGAAAUUUGGUGUUUGUAAUGAGAUUCUUGGCCUUUGAAUAGCCACUUCUAA